UGUUGAUCGGGAAACUCAUCAAUAGUAAUAUCUUUACCGAGAUAUGCUUUCUUUGCUAAUGGCGGGCCACACUUCCUUCGGAAGAUACUUUAUGUGCAGUGGAUUACAAAGGCAAAGGGCCCUCAAAUCCUGUUUUCAGGAGUUUCAUCACGUCCUAGAGUACGA
rnacentral:sRNA from 1 species